AGCGAAACGGAUUCGGGAUACAGGCACAACCGACUGCAACCGACACACGCAGGAAGAGAAAGCAGCGACGUCGACCAAGCACACAGCGCGGCCGCAAGGAAUGUCCGUCAUGUGCACGAAGAAACGGGCGAGCGUGGCCAGUAGCCACAGGGCGAAGUAGCGCGGCAUUAACAGACGUUCAACGUUCAGCCUGUCUUGGACAGCGGCAGGAGCCGCGCGGCCGUGCAGCAGACGGGCGAGAACGCGGCGUGCCUCGGAGCUUCUCCGGACAGGCAGUUCAGCGUCUUGAGUGGCUGGGAAACACCCGCCACAUGCGCACGAAGGGAAACGCCUGCGGCGGCUAUACGGGGUUCGAACGCGAAAGCGAGACUUACUCCACGGCCCAAACUCUCUCCAGACGCGGCUGGUGCAACUGGUCAAGGAAAAGAGACGGUCCUGGGCUCCCGAGGGCGUCGACAGUUUGCCUGGCGGCCGCCGAGUUUUGGUGCUCGAGGCUGAAGCACAGAAAGCACAUCGUUUCACAACCACGAAAGUAAAAGACUCUCGAGGGCGCAAACGCCACGCGCGACCGAGGCGGGGCUCCUGAGCAUUUUUUGAGGAGCGUCGCCGCCCGAAGCACGCAGGCCUAUCUACUAACGAACCUACGCGUGGACGCCCGGUCAGUUACAACCUACAGCUUUCACGCGCCACCGGGGCUUGAACGGGUACGGCAGAGAUAAGGUGUGCAGGACAGCCGCAGCUGACUGAGUUGAGAGAUGCGUCUGAACCACGAGAAGCCUGGGAAAACGGUUCUAUCUGCUGCGGAGACGGGAAGGAUUUGCACACGGCACGUCGCCAUUGUUGUGGGCGCCAGGCCGAAACACCCCCGCGGUUCUCGAAUUCAUAAAUGCAAUCCGUGGCAGCGCGUUGGAAGUCCACGAACGGAGCUUCACCUUAUCUUCACAUCAACCGGCGCUCCCGCUGGCGUGUAUAUACAACCACGACCUCAUUUAUCCAGCUUCGUAAAGGUGACGCAGACACACAAAUGCGCUCGACCAGAGAGAAACUGGAGAAGCGUAGGAAGAAGAAAACUUUUUUGUAAAGGUUUUCCUCCACGCAAAUCAAAACACCGCCUGAGAGUUUCGGUCCUGAAGGGCCGUGAAUCUCUUUCAACUUACAAAUGUAGCCUUCCCAGCCUUUGAUCAUGUUCCCGACGUCUGCCGUAGCUGCAAGGUAAUCCCCCUCCAUUUCGUAGAUUCUGGCCUCGAUGUGUUGGAUAUCGCCUUCCAAUUUCUCCUGCAGCGAAAGCAUCUCAUUCAAAACUGGCAUGGUCUGCUGAAACUGGGC
rnacentral:lncRNA from 1 species